rnacentral:rRNA from 1 species
CCUGGUGACUAUGGCGCAGGGGUUCCACCCGUUCCCAUCCCGAACACGGAAGUUAAGCCCUGCCGCGCCGAUGGUACUGCCGCUUGACGGUGGGAGAGUAGGUCGUUGCCAGGC